rnacentral:lncRNA from 1 species
AAGAUGCCAAGUGCAUUGGGAGAGAACAGAGGGAAACCUGCAGCCACGAAGCUAGGAUGAGAUGGCAGGGUCUCACUGUGCCAUUGAAGUCCCAGCCCCACGGGCACAGGAGCACGGCAGUGCCUGGUGCAAAGCCCAGAUUGCCCUGGGUAUGGAAGUGGCACUCAGGGUCUCUCUGCUCCUUAUAUUGAGGCAGAGUGGGAGAACUGAAGGGGAAGGAGAAAGACAAGUUUGCAUGCAGAGCAGAAAAGGGCAAUGCUGAAUUUAUUCUGGAGAACAGAGCUGGGUCUCCCGAGUGCAAGCAGCAGCUGUUCUUCCUGAACGCAGAGCAAAAGAUUCAGGCAAACUCUCCGGGGAGUUUUUAAUUUUCUAUCUGCUGAUUUCAGAGCUGUUUUCACCCAGACGUGUGCAUUGUGGCUCCGGGAGCUGCACGCUGAUGCAUCCAGGGGCUCUGUGCCAGGCAGGAGCGGUGCUGCACAGCUGUGCACAGCUGCACCAGCGCUGCCCCAUCCCCUCCCUCAUAGCAUGGGUCAUAGCCCCCAGCUCUGCCCAAAGAGAUCCUCGUGAUCAGGAGAUACAGAAAUGUUUUACACCCAAAGCAGCCCUGGGUCUUCAACUCCAUAUGCAGAAGUUGUGAUUUCAGCACAGAGAUGUUGUGCUCCCAGGGAGACCUUGCCCUGCCUUCUCACUCUGGGAGAAGUCACAUCUGCAGAGUGCUAGCAGGGCUGGGCAGAAACUGCUGGGAGCCAUGGGUGCCUGGUUUCUGGGCACUGGGGGUGCCACCACUGUGACUCUGCUCCAGGCGCUGCCCUGUCCCGCAGUGAGCACGGAGCUCUGUGUUCCCUGGGAGGGGAUUUCUGCCCUCCUGAACUCUCAUUCUGCGCUUCAAAGAGUACCUGCAAUUAGCUGCCUGCUCCACUUCCACUGGGGAAGAAGAGAAAGAAUCACCAGCUGCCUCGGAAAAGCGAAUUUCUUCCUCACUCUGAAGACACUUGGAAAACUUGGGAAUAAAUAGCAAAGUCAAAACACGAGGAUUCUGCAGAAAGCUGAGGCUGCGGGAGGGCACUGCUGCCCUUCUGCUGCCAACACAGAGCUGCAGUUGCAUUGCUGGAGGGGCAGGGAAGCGCUUGGCCGGG